UACGAAGGGGGCUAGCGUUGCUCGGAAUCACUGGGCGUAAAGCGCACGUAGGCGGAUUGUUAAGUCAGGGGUGAAAUCCUGGAGCUCAACUCCAGAACUGCCUUUGAUACUGGCAAUCUCGAGUCCGGGAGAGGUGAGUGGAACUCCGAGUGUAGAGGUGAAAUUCGUAGAUAUUCGGAAGAACACCGGUGGCGAAGGCGGGUCUCUGGGCCGAUACUGACGCUGAGGAGCGAAAGCGUGGGGAGCGAACAGG
rnacentral:rRNA from 1 species